GUUCUGCUGAAGAGUCCCAAACUAGGACGAAACAGCUGUCCAGUAC
rfam:Trichobilharzia regenti genome assembly, scaffold: TRE_scaffold0002227